UACAGAGGGUGCGAGCGUUGUCCGGAAUCACUGGGCGUAAAGGGCGCGUAGGCGGCUUGAUAAGCGUGCGGUGAAAGCCCCGGGGCUCAACCCCGGGUCGGCCGCUGCGAACUGUCUAGCUGGAGCACUGUAGAGGCAGGUGGAAUUCCGGGUGUAGCGGUGGAAUGCGUAGAGAUCCGGAAGAACACCGAUGGCGAAGGCAGCCCCCCUGGGUCAAAAACUGACGCCCCAUGCACGAAAGCGUGGGGAGCAAACAGG
rnacentral:rRNA from 1 species